CCUACGGGGUGCAGCAGUGGGGAAUAUUGGACAAUGGGCGAAAGCCUGAUCCAGCCAUGCCGCGUGUGUGAAGAAGGCCUUCGGGUUGUAAAGCACUUUCAGUGGGGAAGAAAGCCUUGGGGCUAAUACCCUCGAGGAAGGACAUCACCCACAGAAGAAGCACCGGCUAACUCCGUGCCAGCAGCCGCGGUAAUACGGAGGGUGCGAGCGUUAAUCGGAAUUACUGGGCGUAAAGCGCGCGUAGGCGGUCUGAUAAGCCGGUUGUGAAAGCCCCGGGCUCAACCUGGGAACGGCAUCCGGAACUGUCAGGCUAGAGUGCAGGAGAGGAAGGUAGAAUUCCCGGUGUAGCGGUGAAAUGCGUAGAGAUCGGGAGGAAUACCAGUGGCGAAGGCGGCCUUCUGGACUGACACUGACGCUGGGGUGCGAAAGCGUGGGUAGCAAACAGGAUUAGAUACCCCUGUAGUC
rnacentral:rRNA from 1 species